GAAACCACAUGCUUAAUUUAUCUCAUUUUAAAGAUGAUUCCAGUGCUAAUGCAUGGGAUUAUUCUGCUUGGGUACGAACAUAUGCCUUAUUUUUGGAGGAGAGGUUGGAAUGUUUCCGUGUGCUGAAGUAUGAUGUUGAGACAGAUCGUGCGAGAACCAAAGAUCUAGACACUGCCGAGUUGCUUGAGCAGUUGCCAGCAUUACAAGAGCUUCUGUAUCGGGUACUUGGUUGUCAGCCACAAGGAGCCGCAGUUCAUAACUUUGUAAUUCAGAUGGCCCUUUCAUUGGUUGCUUCUGAGAGCAUAAAAAUUUAUCAAGCCAUCAGUGAUGGAACAGUCAAUUUAGUUGACAAGUUUUUUGAGAUGCAA
rnacentral:misc_RNA from 1 species